UGGGGAAUAUUGCACAAUGGGCGGAAGCCUGAUGCAGCGACGCCGCGUGGGGGAUGAAGGCCUUCGGGUUGUAAACUCCUUUCGACAGGGACGAAGCUUUUGUGACGGUACCUGUAUAAGAAGCACCGGCUAACUACGUGCCAGCAGCCGCGGUAAUACGUAGGGUGUGAGCGUUGUCCGGAAUUACUGGGCGUAAAGAGCUCGUAGGUGGUUUGUCGCGUCGUCUGUGAAAUUCCGGGGCUUAACUCCGGGCGUGCAGGCGAUACGGGCUGACUUGAGUGCUGUAGGGGAGACUGGAAUUCCUGGUGUAGCGGUGAAAUGCGCAGAUAUCAGGAGGAACACCGAUGGCGAAGGCAGGUCUCUGGGCAGUAACUGACGCUGAGGAGCGAAAGCAUGGGUAGCGAACAGG
rnacentral:rRNA from 1 species